AUUGAACGCUGGCGGAAUGCUUUACACAUGCAAGUCGAACGGCAGCACGGACUUCGGUCUGGUGGCGAGUGGCGAACGGGUGAGUAAUGUAUCGGAACGUGCCCAGUCGUGGGGGAUAACGUAGUGAAAAUUACGCUAAUACCGCAUACGAUCUAUGGAUGAAAGCGGGGGAUCGCAAGACCUCGCGCGAUUGGAGCGGCCGAUAUCAGAUUAGGUAGUUGGUGGGGUAAAGGCCCACCAAGCCAACGAUCUGUAGCUGGUCUGAGAGGACGACCAGCCCAACUGGAACUGAGACACGGUCCAGACGCCUACGGGAGGCAGCAGUGGGGAAUUUUGGACAGUGGGCGAAAGCCUGAUCCAGCCAUUCCGCGUGCAGGAUGAAGGCCCUCGGGUUGUAAACUGCUUUUGUACAGAACGAAAAGGUUUCUACUAAUACUAGGAGCUCAUGACGGUACUGUAAGAAUAAGCACCGGCUAACUACGUGCCAGCAGCCGCCGUAA
rnacentral:rRNA from 1 species